CACAACCUGACACACAUGUAGAUAUACAGAUACAAACACUGACACAUACAGAUACACACUGACUAUAUACAGUUACACACACACAAACACAAACGGACAACAUACAGAUACAGAGACACAUUCUGACAGACGUACUGACACAGAGACACACACAGACAGCCAUACUGAAACACACAUACACACAGACAAACAGAACCACACUGACAGACUCACACAUAGACAUACCGACACACUGACAGACAUACAGACAUUCUGGCACACAUACACACAGACAGACAUACUGAAACACACAGACACUGAAAGACGUACACACAUACAGACAUUUUGACACUCACAGACAGCCAUACUGAAACACACAUACAGACAGACAUACAGAACCACACGGACACUGACAAACUCACACAUAGACAUACUGACACACUGACAGACAUACAGACAUUCUGGCACACAUCCACACAGACAGCCAUACUGAAACACACAGACACUGACAGCCGUACACACAUACAGACAUUUUGACACUCACAGACAGCCAUACUGAAACACACAUACACACAUACAUACUGAACCACACGGACACUGACAGACUUACACACACAGACAUACUGACACACUGACAGACAUACUGGCACAAAUACACUGACAGACAUACUGGCACAUAUACACAGAGAGACAGACAUACUAAAACACACAUAUACACAGACACUGACAGAUAUAUUGACAAACACAGACAUACAGAACCACACAGACACUGACAGACAGACUCACACACACAGACAUACUGACACACUGACAGACAUACUGGCACACUG